GACGAACGCUAGCGGCGGGCCUAACACAUGCAAGUCGAGCGGGGAGCAAUCCCAGCGGCGGACGGGUGAGUAACGCGUAGGUGAUGUGCCUCCAGGUGGGGAAUAACCUUGGGAAACCAGGGCUAAUACCGCAUACAGCCCGAAAGGGUGAAAGCCGUAAGGCGCCAGGAGAGCAGCCUGCGUCCCAUUAUUUAUUCCUAGUUGGUGAGGUAACGGCUCACCAAGGGUACGAUGGGUAGCUGGUCUGAGAGGAUGAUCAGCCACACUGGAACUGAGACACGGUCCAGACUCCUACGGGAGGCAGCAGUGGGGAAUAUUGCGCAAUGGGCGAAAGCCUGACGCAGCCACGCCGCGUGAGUGAUGAAGGCCUUCGGUGUAAGCUCUGUCGCAGGGGAAGAAACCUAGACGGUACCCUGCAAGAAAGACACCGGCUAACUCUGUGCCAGCAGCCGCGGUAAU
rnacentral:rRNA from 1 species